AGAGUUUGAUCCUGGCUCAGGACGAACGCUGGCGGCAUGCCUAACACAUGCAAGUCGAACGAGAAAGUUCCUUCGGGAGCAAUUAAAGUGGCGCACGGGUGAGUAACGCGUAGACAAUCUGCCCUUCAGUCUGGGACAACUUUUCGAAAGGAGAGCUAAUACCGGAUAACAAUGCAUGACACAAGUUGUAUAUUUGAAAGCUUUAUGUGCUGAAGGAGGGGUCUGCGUCCCAUUAGCUAGUUGGUAGGGUAAAGGCUUACCAAGGCAACGAUGGGUAGCGGGUUUGAGAGGACGAUCCGCCACACUGGAACUGAGACACGGUCCAGACUCCUACGGGAGGCAGCAGUGGGGAAUAUUGGACAAUGGGGGCAACCCUGAUCCAGCAAUACCGCGUGUGUGAAGAAGGCCUGAGGGUUGUAAAGCACUUUCAAUUGUGAAGAAAAGUUAACGGUUAAUAACCGUUAGCCUUGACGUUAACUUUAGAAGAAGCACCGGCUAACUCCGUGCCAGCAGCCGCGGUAAUACGGAGGGUGCAAGCGUUAAUCGGAAUUACUGGGCGUAAAGCGUGCGUAGGCGGUUUAUUAAGUCAGAUGUGAAAGCCCCGGGCUUAACCUGGGAACUGCAUUUGAAACUGGUCAACUAGAGUAUGGUAGAGGAAAGUGGAAUUUCUGGUGUAGCGGUGAAAUGCGUAGAUAUCAGAAGGAACAUCAAUGGCGAAGGCAGCUUUCUGGACCAAUACUGACGCUGAGGUACGAAAGCGUGGGUAGCAAACAGGAUUAGAUACCCUGGUAGUCCACGCCGUAAACGAUGAUAACUAGCCGUUGGGGGGAUUUACCCUUUAGUGGCGAAGCUAACGCGUUAAGUUAUCCGCCUGGGGAGUACGGCCGCAAGGUUAAAACUCAAAGGAAUUGACGGGGACCCGCACAAGCGGUGGAGCAUGUGGUUUAAUUCGAUGCAACGCGAAGAACCUUACCUGGUCUUGACAUCCUGCGAACUUUCUAGAAAUAGAUUGGUGCCUUCGGGAACGCAGUGACAGGUGCUGCAUGGCUGUCGUCAGCUCGUGUCGUGAGAUGUUGGGUUAAGUCCCGUAACGAGCGCAACCCCUAUCCUUAUUUGCCAGCACGUCAUGGUGGGAACUAUAAGGAGACUGCCGGUGAUAAACCGGAGGAAGGCGGGGACGACGUCAAGUCAUCAUGGCCCUUACGACCAGGGCUACACACGUGCUACAAUGGGAAGGACAAAGAGCCGCGAAGCCGCGAGGUGUAGCUAAUCUCAGAAACCUUUUCGUAGUCCGGAUUGGAGUCUGCAACUCGACUCCAUGAAGUCGGAAUCGCUAGUAAUCGUAGAUCAGAAUGCUACGGUGAAUACGUUCCCGGGUCUUGUACACACCGCCCGUCAUACCAUGGGAGUGGGUUGCACCAGAAGUGGCUAGUCUAACUUAGUGAGGACGGUCACCACGGUGUGAUUCAUGACUGGGGUAAAGUCGUAACAAGGUAACC
rnacentral:rRNA from 1 species